GGGAGCUUCAAGAUGGACAUUUGUUAAUUUUUUUUUUGAUUCACUAAUAUCUGAAGACCAGUAGUGAAUACUCAGAGCCCUGCCCAGAUCUCUUCAAAUUAGGACUAUGAGAUGCAGAGUCUGAAUUGAUACUGACACCUAGGGGUCCAAAGCAAUAUUGUGGCCCCUUGUUAAAACAGAAUAAUGAAGUUCCAGAAUACACAGUCUGUCUGGAUACAUUUGGAAGCUGGAAAAAUGCUCAUACUGGUCUCUGACAAGUGGAGUUAAGAGCCAAUAGGAUAAGCCAGGUAGAAAAUUUCUCCCUCAAGGUAAUAAAUAAAAAUCACAAUACCUAAUUGCAAGUGAGAUUAGUUCACUUUUAAAGAUAUCACAGGGGUGCCUGGGUGGCUCAGUGGGUCAAAGCCUCUGCCUUCAGCUCAGGUCAUGAUCCUAAGAUUCUGGGGUUCUGGGAUCGAGCCCAGCACUGGGCUCUCUGCUCAGCUAGGAGCCUGCUUCCCUUCUU
rnacentral:lncRNA from 1 species